UGUUUGGCUCCCUCCAAAGGUGUGCUAGUUUGAAGAUGCUGGACGUGAGCUUCAACACGCUUGCCGGAGAACUCCCCAGCAGCCUAUGCCAAAACCAUCCACAGCUCAGGCACCUGAUCCUCUGGGCGAAUAGCUUCGAAGGACAAAUACCAUCCGCUUUGGCCAAAUGCAAAAACCUCGUCAACUUGAUGCUGAGUUUCAAUCGUUUCGAGGGAGAGAUUCCAUCACAGCUCUCCGACCUGCAAGACCUGCAAUGGUUGAGCUUGAGCAACAACAGGCUUAGUGGUGAGAUACCUGCUGCGCUGGGACGCCUCCACAGGAUGACCGUACUCCAGCUAAGAGACAAUCGCCUGCAAGGAGAGAUUCCAUCAGAGCUC
rnacentral:lncRNA from 1 species